AUGUGGACCAGUGUGUGAAGUGUAUAGAGAUUCAUUAUGCAAAUACAGAGUAGAGCAACUGCUACGAAAAAUCUGUGAGAAUUUUUGUCUAUGAAAAUGCCUUUUAGGAGAUUCUAUCAAGCGUAGCAUUGGGCAUGUCUGCACUCACUGCCUUUGAUAUAGUGAUCAUUGUGAAACACAUAGACACUCCUAUUUUCAGUGCCAAUAAUCAAUCUCUGAGUUACAUUUUGUUCAUUAUACUCACCUUCUGUUUCCUAUGUUCUUACAAAUUCAUUGGUCAGCCAAACACAGCUGCUUGCAUCCUUCAGCAGACCAUAUUUGCAGUUGCUUUCACCAUGGCUCUGGCCACUGUGUUGGUCAAAGCUGUACUGUGAUCCUUGCCUUUAAGGUCAGUUUUCCAGGAAGAAUGGUAAGGAAAUGGUAAGCUAAUGAUAUCCAAGGGUUCAAACUACAUAAUUCCUAUAUGCACCUUGAUCCAACUUCUUCUUUGUGGAAUAUGGAUGACAGCAUCUCCACCAUUCAUUAACCAAGAUGUUCAUAAUGAAUAUGGACACAUCAUCGUUUUGUGCAACAAGGGCUCAGCUGUUGCCUUCCAUUCUUUCCAGAGAUACCUCUUUUCUUGGCCCUUGGGAGUUAUACCAUGGUCUUCUUGGCUAGAAAAUGUUCUGAUACAUUCAACAAAUCCAAAUUUCUAUCAUUCAAUAUGCUGGUUUUCUUUUGUGUCUGGGUCACAUUUAUUCCUCUCUACCAGAGCACUAAAGGGAAGAUCAUGGUGGUUAUGGAAGUAUUCUCUAUCUUGGUGUUCAGCACAGUAUGCCUUGCCUUAAUAUUUGGUCCAAAGUGUUACAUUAACUUGUUGAGAUGAAACAAAAGUUCAUUUAAUCAUAUUAGGAAAAAAAAAAA
rnacentral:lncRNA from 1 species